rnacentral:rRNA from 1 species
UACGUAGGGUGCAAGCGUUGUCCGGAAUUAUUGGGCGUAAAGAGCUCGUAGGCGGUUUGUCGCGUCUGCUGUGAAAACUCAGGGCUUAACCCUGAGCUUGCAGUGGGUACGGGCAGACUAGAGUGCGGUAGGGGAGACUGGAAUUCCUGGUGUAGCGGUGAAAUGCGCAGAUAUCAGGAGGAACACCGGAGGGCGAAGGCGGCUCACUGGGGGUCUUCUGACGCUGAGGAACGAAAGCCAGGGGAGCGAACGGG